AACGAACGCUGGUGGCGUGCUUAACACAUGCAAGUCGAACGAGAAAGUUUCCUUCGGGAAAUUAGUAAAGUGGCGCAAGGGUGAGUAUCACGUGAAUAAUCUGCCCUCGAGAUCGGGAUAACAUGGUGAAAACUAUGCUAAUACCGGAUAAGACCACAUUUCAUAAGAAAUGCGGUAAAAGAAGUCUCAAUCUUCACUCGAGGAUGAGUUCGCGCAACAUUAGCUUGUUGGUGAGAUAAAAGCUCACCAAGGCUACGAUGUUUAGCCGGCCUGAGAGGGUGAACGGCCACACUGGAACUGAGACACGGUCCAGACUCCUACGGGAGGCAGCAGUGGGGAAUCUUGCACAAUGGGGGAAACCCUGAUGCAGCGAUGCCGCGUGAGUGAAG
rnacentral:rRNA from 1 species